AUCCAUAAAAAUACUUAAGUUUUCGUAAGAUAAAAAAGAAAAAGUUAUCAUUACAGAUGGGAAAAUACAAAGCUGAAUGUACGUGUACGCGUAUGUUGUCUUAGUAUUGUGUCUACUUGAUAUAAUUCAAACUAUAUGGACUUUUACUUACUUUUAUUUCUGCUUCUUUUUGUUACUCAGAAAGACGGACGCCAUAUCAUUAUUGUCCUUCACUUUAAUUAGUUAGCCAGCUAUUAUCACGUGUUAAGUAAUCGUCGGGUAAUCUUAACUGCCUUCCCAGUCUUGUUAAUAUUCCCAGUGAAUCACUAUCUACCCAUUACUUGGACAAGAUAAUCCAACUCGUUCAAAUCCACAUCCUCCAUUUGAUUUAACCCCUUCCGUCUACAGUACCUCUAUCUUUCACGGUGAUAAUCUUCGCUUCCGUUUGCCCCUUGGCUUACAGCGUCAUGACCUCUAACGUCCAACAUCUUGAUUCCUGCUAUCACUCGGUAAGACCUCUCGUUAGGCAGCUAUCACUUACCACACUGCAGUACUUUUUGCCUCUACUCGCUAACCAAGCAUCACAUAUCAUUCCAUUUACUCUCCGGUCCUUCCUGCCUCUAACUCUGUUUAGCUGAGCGUCACCAAUUACACUUCACUUAUACUUUAGUUUUUCCUGCUUCUACUUCUUGUCUGUCAAUUAUCAACAAUCACGCCACUCAUACUUCAGUCCUUCCUGCCUCUAUCUCUGGACAGCCAAGCAUUACCCAUUAUCACACUCCACCCACAUUCCACUCACUUCCCGCCUGUACCUCUCAAUAGCCAAGCAUCACUCAUCAUCACACCCCACUCACACUCUGCACUUCAGUCAUACAUCAGAUCUUGCUUCUCGUUAGCCAAGCAUCAGUCAUCAUACUCCACCAACGCUUCCCGCCUCACUCCCCGCCACAAUCAGUCAGCAGAGAGUCGAAUUUGUUCAACAUCUUCGUGAUCUUUAGCACUUUAGCAGCUAUGAUCUAUCUCUUAGUACAACAAAAUGGCCAGGUGUAAUAUAUCUUUAUUUAUUCUGUGUCAUAGGCAAGAAUUGCUUAAACAAAGAUUCUUCCUUGUGCUGCUAUUGUCAGGGGUUGCUACAGCAGAUCGACCUAAAUUAAAACCCCUUCACUGUUAUUUAGCUCGUCUUUCAAUAAUCACUAACCACUCUGAGACCUCUUGUUCUACGGCGCCCUCCAAACAUUGUACUGGCUAGAAAUUGCUAAAUGUAUUUUAAUUUUUUUUUUAUCCCCCUUUUAUUCUUGUAGAUAUUUAUAAAGAUUCAUAUAUUACUUUUAGUGCUGUGAAGUGCUGUAUACCGCAGUGAAAGGGCCUUCCUCCGUCACACACAUUACACGCAUGUCGUCUUUCACUGCACUCCUAAACUUCCUCUUAGGUCUCCCUUUAUUUCUCCUGCCUGGUAGAUUUAUAUUUAGUAGCAUCAUCCUCCCCAUAAACUUCUCGUCUCUCUUCUAGACAUGCCCACACAGCCUCAUUCCCUCCUCUCUGGUCCCCAUCCCUCCUCAGCCCCUUCUCUCUGGUCCCCACACCGCCUCAGUCCCUCCUCUUUGGCUCCCACACCGCCUCAAUCUCUCCUCUCUGGUCCCCACACCGUCUCAGUCCCUCCUCUCUCUCCAGGUUCCCACGCCGCCUCAGUCCCUCCUUUCUGGUCCCUAUACCGCCUCAGUCCCUCCUCGCUCGCCAGAUCCCUAUACCGCCUCAGUCCCUUUUCUCUGGUCCUCAUUCCGUCUCAGUCCCUCCUUUCUAGCCUGUUUCCCACACCGCCUUAGUCCCUUCUCUCUGGUCCUCACACGACGAAGUAACAUGUGUUAUGUCAUUAGUAGUCAAAGGUUUAUCUCAGAUUCCGACGGUCUUCCUCAUCUAUAUUUAGCCAGUGCAAAUGUUAACCUAGUUUCCGAGUCUUCGUCGCUUCAUGCUAGUAGCGGUUAAAUACUUGCCCUAUCACUAAGCGAGGAUCGAAUAUAUGUAACAUGAGGUUAGCAACUCCCUCAUAAGUGCUCCGUGUUGCAAGUUAACCUGGGAACGUAUUCUCAAAUAUUUCAGCGUCUUGAUUAAUCACAAGUACUUUACAAGAUCUAUGGAAAGUUACUGAUGUUUUCAAGGGUGUUUUCCUGUGUAGUGGUAGUAUAACAAGGCCUUUGCUUCGUCAUUGGGAAGAAUACCUUUGAAGAACCAAUUAAUAUCUACGAGGCCUUUGAAAAUAUAUCUAUGAGAGAGAGCAAAGCAUUUUAGAAUACGGCUUUGAAGUUUGUGGCUGUAUGUCCACCCCAUCAAAAAAUAACAUCAAGUAGAACUACCAUGAAUAAUCAUCAGAACCACGAGUAAUUACAGCGAAACGAACAUUACGUCCGAAACCAUUCCUACAUCUUACGUAUAUCACUUCUGUAAUAUUCAAGUAACAAUAUAUAUAUAUAUAUUUUUUUUACAUAACGAAGAAAGACUUAAACAAUAUAUAUAUGCAUCACUUCAAACUUUUUAUCAUUGGUUCAAUAAAAAGCGAACCAGCUCUAGUGGAAUUCGAGACAAAGGAUUCAAACAAGGAAGCGGAAGGCAGUGCGCAGUGGAAGCCAGGCAGCGGUGGUGGACAGACGUGGUGAGAGAAAGCUGCAGAGGAUGGAGGAGAGUGAUAGAAGAACACGUGCUAGGACCGCUUGGGGGGACUCAGCCAGUCAGCCAGCCACGCUUCCACGAUGAAUUGUGCAAGCCAGAAAAAAACUUUGCCUCCGGGACAAGUCGCCUCCACGCAGUACACAACAUAAGUAAUUACGACGAGCUGAUACCCUCGUACAGCUCGUACCCUCGUGGAGCCCCCUAGCUACUGUCUGCAACAUCUAGUUAACGUGUGAGAGACAGAAAGAGUCUCUGACAGAGAGAGACUGACAGACUGAGAGAGAGACUGACAGACCGUGUUUGUGUAUAGAAUGCCUUCUUCCACUGUGUAUCCUGAAUAAAUUAUAAUCUUAUAAAA